CCGCGUGCGGGAUGAAGGCCUUCGGGUUGUAAACCGCUUUCAGUAGGGAAGAAGCGAAAGUGACGGUACCUACAAAAGAAGCACCGGCUAACUAUGUGCCAGCAGCCGCGGUAAUACAUAGGGUGCAAGCGUUGUCCGGAAUUAUUGGGCGUAAAGAGCUCGUAGGUUGUUCGUUACGUCGGAUGUGAAAAUCUGAGGCUCAACCUCAGACCUGCAUUCGAUACGGGCGAACUGGAGUGUGGUAGGGGAGACUGGAAUUCCUGGUGUAGCGGUGGAAUGUGCAGAUAUCAGGAGGAACACCAAUGGCGAAGGCAGGUCUCUGGGCCAUUACUGACACUGAGGAGCGAAAGUCUGGGGAGCGAACAGGAUUAGAUACCCUGGUAGUCCAGACCGUAAACGGUGGGCGCUGGUUGUGGGAACCUUCCACGGUUUUCUGCGACGUAGCUAACGCAUUAAGCGCCCCGACUGGGGAGUACGAUCGCAAGAUUAUAAAUCACAGGAAUUUGAAGGAGCCCCGCACAAGCAGAGGAGCAUGCGGGUUAAUUCGACGCAAAGCGAAGAAACUU
rnacentral:rRNA from 1 species